rnacentral:misc_RNA from 1 species
GAUGAAGAACGCAGCGAAAUGCGAUAAGUAGUGUGAAUUGCAGAAUUCAGUGAAUCAUCGAAUCUUUGAACGCACAUUGCGCCCCUUGGUAUUCCAUGGGGCAUGCCUGUUCGAGCAUCAUUUGUACCUUCAAGCUUUGCUUGGUGUUGGGUGUUUGUCCCGAGGGACUCGCCUUAAAGUAAUUGGCAGCCAGUGUUUGGUUUUGAAGCGCAGCACAAGUCGCGAUUCAAGGCUACACGCCCGCUUCCACAAGCCUUUUUUCACUUUUGACCUCGGAUCAGGUAGGGAUACCCGCUGAACUUAAGCAUAUCAAUAAGCGGAGGA